GAAACGUGUAAUCACCCAAACAACCAUUUUUACCCAUUUCACCCCUUCUGGAUCUGUGUCGCAAGCCUGCCGCGAGCUUAUCUGUCUUUCACUGCGGAUACCGUGAAGGAGGAGGCCGGACCGUGAGUGGAGACGCCAAGAGAAUUGGCACUUUGGAGGGAAGUCCAUGCAAAGCGUCUCCAUCUAUCAUGCUGGCUGGGUUUCUACAGCAGUGUUAUUGACAUAGUAAAUUAAAGGAGGCACACAUCAGGUAGCUGACGGAUCGGAGGCAUCAACAGCAAACUUAUAAUUGCAGCUCUGUCACAGUUGAUCAUGGGAAAUGACUCUGAGAGGUAACAGUUUAUGAGCGAGGGAAGGGCGCACCGUGCAGUCUCUGUCAGAGGACUGCUUUUGUUGAGACAGCAGAUUGAUGACGGUGUGACAGAGUGACAUUGCAUUCUGGGAACCCAGGACUAUGGCCAUAAAUCCAUGGCGAUUCAGCUUUACAAUGGCCUACUGUCUAGCCAUCAGAGGGGGAGAAGAGGAAAAUCAGGCACCCAGGAGGACAGGAAAUCGCAUGCCAAAAACACAUUACUCCUGAACUCCAAUUUGCACGAUCCUGUGGUGGACAGCAGCACGGCAGCGUGGCAGAGGGUGGGCUCGUCUGUCUGUGUCGGCCUCGGUGCCACGGAGGCCCCAGCAGGGUCGGGGGGAGCGGGGGCUCAGGGUGCCAGCACAAAUGAGAUCCAUUCAUUUCCCCACUUCGGCAUAUGGUGGCCCAUUGUCCUCGGCCACAGAGGCAGAAGUGAUGCAAUUUGUUGGCAUGUCCUGUCAUUUCACAAACUGUCCAUCCCACUGAGGCCCUGGCCAGCAGAAGACAAGCAAGGGCAGCUUGUUGUUUCACCUGAUCCACACCAUAACAUGAGCUGGUAGCAACAGAUCACACACCCCUUUACAUUAUAAAGGAAGCCGUGCACAAAUAUUUUGAUGAACAGAUAAAGAAAGUCAGAAACAACAGGAUCAAUCGGAGUAAAUCUUCCAGGAGAUUAUAAUAUACAGUAUCUGUGUCAAUCCCUGUUGUUUUCCAGGUUAUAACAAAAGCUUAUCCUUAUUUACAGAAUAAGAUUUCGUCUGAUCUUGGCAUUAAGACAUGAUAGCCUCCUUACAUGCGUCAUGGUAUGCAAAGACAUCAGCUUGGGCAAAACAACCUACUCAAAAACAAGAAAAUACUGCACUUAAAAUGAAAUCCAAACCUACAUGGAAAGAAUAAACAGUGAAACUUCAGAUUUAUGAGUGAGAGUGAACUGGGCAGUUCACCCCAGGCCUGUUCCUGGUUUCACUAUGCCAUGCAUGAACCUACUGUCUGACAGGAGAGGGGAAGGAGUCUUGUUUAACUUCCUGAAAAAGCAAACUUUUGACAUGAGGUGCACAAUAUAGCCAAUGCAGCAGCAGAAAGAAGUGUCUAGACAUGACUGCAUUUAGGUCAGACAGAGGAAAACAUAUGAUCACACUGUCAUGCACAAAACACUGGUAGUAUAUGGUGUUGACAGACGUUUGGAUCGCAGGGUCAAAUGUCACUGAACCCAUUCUACACUAACAUUUGUAUGCGUGUGUAUACUGCAUCAUCGCUUCACGCCGUGAUUCCACUCAAUACUGGCCGUGUCAGUUGGAGGUUUGCUGUUCAUUGUCCACACAGCGUGCUACCCGCUCUCUCGGCGUGUGACGGGAACGUGGGCUUUCCACUGAACUCCCGAGAAGAAAUCAACAAAGGGGAGCACCUUCAGACAAGAAGUCAACUUCACUUCAGCCACUCUGAAGAUUGAUGACGUUGGUCUUCGUUUCACUGGGAGUAAGAAACAAGUGGCCCUCAGAGACUCAUUACACCUCAGCAAGAUUUGGAGAAUGGAGUGACACUGUUCCUGAUUACCAGAUUCAUCAUUUGUAUUGGUCUGGGUCGCUCUUUCACAAAUGUCAGCUGGAGAACUGGUUUUGUGUCGUGUACUGUACAAAAGCUUAAGAAAGAAAAGACCCUGGCAAAAUGACGUAAUGCACUUUUGUUUAUUUGUCACACAUAAGACAUGCAAAAACAGUCAGAUAAUCCAUCUUCGUCCCCCCACACAAACAUUUAGCCAGGUUAGCUGUGGUCCAUCUAAUACCCCAAUCAUACAUCCCUGACCUCAAUCCUGCCAACACUUUUCUGCACCCACCUCCCCCCCCCUUGUUCUUCCAGCCACCCUACUGCGUUAAACGAGAUCCUUCUCCAGCCCUAUCCUUAACCCCAUUUGUAUCCUCUACUCCCACCUAUCCCCCAACCUGUCAAGGACCGGCUUCCCAUGUCCAUCACUGGGUGAUGGAUGGGGUGGAAGGUCGUCACCCCACUCUCAAGAGUUCACUGAUCCCAUCAGCCAUGCAGACACCUCCAAAUCAUAGUGGGGGACGUUACUGAAAUUAUACAUUUAGGGAGAAUAACCUGGGACAGGGAUGUACUGCUUUGCAAAAUCUGCUUUUCGAGAGAUGUGUCAUUGACAAGAAGUCAUAUUUUUGAAUUUCAUUGGCUAUCAUAUGUAUUUCUGAUGCUAUUUGCUAAGAAAACCAUGCAGGAGCGAUAUUUUAAAGUAACAAUUAAGCUCUUUUUGAUUCAUCUUGUGUUUAAGGCUACAGAGUGCAUGCUUAUCUUUCUUCCUUGCUAAAACCUGGUGCCUACAUUACCCAGAAAGCAACUUGGUUGUCAACAGUUCAGUCAGUGAUUCAUGUGUGUUAGAUUUGUAGUGGCUAAUGUAGCCCUACUAGCCUCAAGCAGAAAUGAGGCCUUGUGUGACAUCACUCUUUUGUAGCUCCCUCUGGACCUUUCAACAGACUUUGAAGUGUAAAAUGUGAGUAUUUACUUACAGGUUUUGAAGUACAAACUAAAGCUUAUCUGUUGUACUUUUGUCAUUAUGGUUCCAUGGGGGGAAAUUAAAACUCUUGAUACAGAUUCUGCAGAGAGCACACAAGGCAGCAAUCAAAUAGGCUACAAGUAAAGGAGUCUUUGUUGUGUUCGAAUUUUCUAGUAAAUUGGGAAGAUAUAUUGCAUUUUCCCAAUGACAAGACUUCUUCUUAUUAAAUAGAUAUCCGAGACUCAGUAGAAAAAUAGAAAUGAUUUGCUGAAAGUCAUUUUCCGUAAAAACGCAAUGAAAUUUGAUUGCACCCUGGUAUAAACUAGUGAAGUGUCUCACCCUUGACUGACCUUAAAUUGCCUCUUGAUGCCUAUGGCGCUGUAGGAAAAACAGUAGUCCUAUUGGCUCAUUUCACAUAUGUCCUGGUAAACAAAGCUACAGGAUAUGGUCGGUAUUUCAAUUGCUGAGGAAAACCAGAGAAGGCAAGAUCCUGGAUAAGUCUGUCCCUAGUUUUCCAGUAACAGACCACAUGGUGACCAAAGGAGGCUGGGUUUUUUCUCACUCAUAUCAUUCAGUCAGCGGGAGAUUGACAUACUAUAAAUACACAAGAAAAAUAAACAAUACACAAUAGUGUCAAGCCUCACCACUGACAGGGGCAUAGAUCAAUGUUAUUUCCCGCUUUUGCAAAAAUACCUAAUUCCCCUUAUUUAAUCAAGCGCCCCCUUUGCUCGGGCCCCUCCGGCUGAUUUAUGACACCCGCUGCCUUUAUGAGUACCUGUUUCAUUUUCUUGUCUCUGCUCUGACACCUAAAGUGAUAGGAAUUUUAUGCUUUUGAUAACAAUAUGAGUUUCACUUUGGCCCAGAAUUCAUGGCCCUGUCAGCGGGCAAUAAAUAACAGCAGCACAGCGAAAACAUUCACAAGCUUCCACGACAAAACAUCCACCCAGUGGGAUUUACUUUGGGAUGGAGGCUAUGAAUAAAAAAAAAAAAAAAAGAGGGAGA